CCAGAAGGCCCUGUGUGAAAUGACUCAGGGUGUGAUUCUCUCUUUAUCAUACUCUUUCCAUUUUAAACAUUUAAUGUUUGAUUUGAAGGGGAAAGAAUUUCAAAGCCACUCCUUGUCUACUUGUACUUUUUCAUGAUUAUCAUAUUAUUUCUAUGUACACCCUAGACUUUGUAGUAUUCUUAAUGGUUUGCAUCAUCACAAACCUUAAGGAAGGCUGGAACACUUUCCAGACAGUGGUGCAUGAAAUGGCGGAGGAUGUUGAAGCAGAGCAUCCAUGAGGCCUGCUUGGCUGGAUGGGAAGGCUGGUACAGCAACACUCAGAGAUGUGUUCUGUAAAAAUUACAGUGUUCCAUAAAAAAUCACGGUGAGUUUGAAGUGCUGCCAUCUCAACUUGUCUGAGAAGCACUGUUUGUCCUUGCACAAAAGGGGUGUAAGUAUGUACAGGGGAAGGGGACACACAUUCUUUGCCUUGCCCAAGGUCCACACUCCUGGAAAGGCAUUCUUUCCAAAUAUAGGCAACAGAAGGUGCACCUGGCCUCUUCUUUCCAUUCUGAAUGAGGUUAGGUGCUGGCUCCAGACUGGGAGAACAACUCAGUUGCACACAGAAGAGUUUGAGGUAAGUAAGAGUUAAUAAUAACACCAACACAAAGAUACCAUGAAGCUGAAGCUGGAGUCAGCACCCUCUUUCUGACUUAAGCUCUUUACCCCUUUGGUUCUCCCUCCAGGACAGCCUAUCCUGGAUGCCCUCUCAAAAAAGGCACUCUGAGAGUAUCAUCAUGUCACUCCUCUACUUUCUCCUUCCUCUCACCCAAGGUGGCAAGGAUCCAGGGCUAUCACAAAAAGACCCUGCUCUCCGGAAUGAUCAUAUCCCACUGUCUUUGCCCACCUCACUUCAUUCCCUGGUCCCAGAAACCUGAGAUCUUCCUGCCUGCUCCAACACAUACACACACACGCACAUGCACACACACCCCAUUCUCACUCACUCACUCUCUCCCAUUUUUAGUAUCUCACCAGGGUCAGGUUCUCUAUGCCUUGUGAUAAGUUCCUGAGAAACUAAUUCAUACUUUUGGAGAAAGAAGACUAUUAAUGGUUAAUUUCAGGGGCUUUGGAGCCAGGAAGACCUGAGUUGUAAUGCCACUUUAGAUACAAAUUUUGUAACUGGGCAAUUGCUUACCAUCUUUGGGCCUCUUUCUUCUCCUUUGAAAAUAGGGAUGUCAAUCCUCUUUCAGAGGGCCGUUGGAAUAAUUAAACGAGAUAUGUGUAUAGCCCUUAGAACAGGCCUGGUUUACAGUAAGCAAUGAAUAAAUGGAAGUGAUUAUUGAUGUUUUUGUACUAAUGAGAAGAGUUUAGAAUAAAUAUUUCCUCCCCUCACCUUCUCUCCCUCUGUCUAAUUCUGUCUUCUCUGCCUGAUAAAAUAACUUGUUUUAUGGAUAC
rnacentral:lncRNA from 1 species